rnacentral:rRNA from 1 species
AUUGAACGCUGGCGGCAGGCCUAACACAUGCAAGUCGAGCGGAACGACUGACGGGUGGGUAAGGCCUAGGAAUCUGCCUGGUAGUGGGAGAGAGCGUCCGGAAACGGACGCUAGUACCGCAUACUAUCCAUUGAGCCUAGGUGGGAUUAGCUAGUUGGUGGGGUAAAGGCCUACCAAGGCGACGAUCCGUAACUGGUCUGAGAGGAUGAUCAGUCACACUGGAACUGAGACACGGUCCAGACUCCUACGGGAGGCAGCAGUGGGGAAUAUUGGACAAUGGGCGAAAGCCUGAUCCAGCCAUGCCGCGUGUUUGAAGAAGGUCUUCGGAUUGUAAAGUACUUUAAGUUGGGAGGCGUUACCCACAGAAUAAGCACCGGCUAACUGCGUGCCAGCAGCCGCGGUAAUUC